rnacentral:misc_RNA from 1 species
AAGUCGUAACAAGGUUUCCGUAGGUGAACCUGCGGAAGGAUCAUUAUUGAAUAAACUUGAUGUGGUUGAGCUGACAUCCUUUUCUUAGGGGAGGGGUGUAUGUGCUCGCUCGUCAUAUUUAUCUUUUACCACCUGUGCACUUUUUGUAGAUUUUUAAGAUGUUACACUUUUUCUGAGGUUUUUAAUUUAACCCUUGGUUCAGAGGAAUGACUUUAAUUAGGCUUUCCUUGAGAGAGUACGUCUUGAAGUCUAUGUCUUUUACAUACCCCAAUAAAAUGUAACAGAAUGUAUAUUUAAGGGACAUUUGUGCCUAUAAAAUCUAUACAACUUUCAGCAACGGAUCUCUUGGCUCUC